UACAGAGGGGGCAAGCGUUGUUCGGAAUUACUGGGCGUAAAGGGCGCGUAGGCGGUCUGCUAAGUUGGAUGUGAAAACUCUGGGCUUAACCCAGAGCCUGCAUUCAAUACUGACAGGCUAGAGUUCUGGAGGGGAUAGCGGAAUUCCUGGUGUAGCGGUGAAAUGCGUAGAUAUCAGGAGGAACACCGGUGGCGAAGGCGGCUAUCUGGACAGAGUCUGACGCUGAGGCGCGAAAGCUAGGGGGAUCAAACAGG
rnacentral:rRNA from 1 species